rnacentral:rRNA from 1 species
GACGAACGCGGCGGCGUGCCUAAUACAUGCAAGUCGAGCGGAGUUUUUAAAAGCUUGCUUUUAAAAACUCAGCGGCGGACGGGUGAGUAACACGUGGGCAACCUGCCCUGUAGACUGGGAUAACUUCGGGAAACCGAAGCUAAUACCGGAUAAUCAUAGAAGUUGCAUAGCUUCUAUGUAAAAGUUGGGUUUACCUAACACUACAGGAUGGGCCCGCGUCGCAUUAGCUAGUUGGUAAGGUAACGGCUUACCAAGGCGACGAUGCGUAGCCGACCUGAGAGGGUGAUCGGCCACACUGGGACUGAGACACGGCCCAGACUCCUACGGGAGGCAGCAGUAGGGAAUCUUCCGCAAUGGACGAAAGUCUGACGGAGCAACGCCGCGUGAGCGAUGAAGGCCUUCGGGUCGUAAAGCUCUGUU